rnacentral:rRNA from 1 species
CCUAACGGGAGGCAGCAGUGAGGAAUAUUGGUCAAUGGGCGCAAGCCUGAACCAGCCAUGCCGCGUGCAGGAUGACGGUCCUAUGGAUUGUAAACUGCUUUUGUACAGGAAGAAACACUCCCUCGUGAGGGAGCUUGACGGUACUGUAAGAAUAAGGAUCGGCUAACUCCGUGCCAGCAGCCGCGGUAAUACGGAGGAUCCAAGCGUUAUCCGGAAUCAUUGGGUUUAAAGGGUCCGUAGGCGGGUUUAUAAGUCAGUGGUGAAAGCCCAUCGCUCAACGAUGGAACGGCCAUUGAUACUGUAGAUCUUGAAUUAUUAGGAAGUAACUAGAAUAUGUAGUGUAGCGGUGAAAUGCUUAGAGAUUACAUGGAAUACCGAUUGCGAAGGCAGGUUACUACUAAUGGAUUGACGCUGAUGGACGAAAGCGUGGGUAGCGAACAGGAUUAGAUACCCUGGUAGUCCACGCCGUAAACGAUGGAUACUAGCUGUUCGGAGCAAUCUGAGUGGCUAAGCGAAAGUGAUAAGUAUCCCACCUGGGGAGUACGUUCGCAAGAAUGAAACCUUAAAGGAAUUGACGGNNGAGAGAGCGACGACGACGACGAGGGAGGAGG